rnacentral:misc_RNA from 1 species
UCACCCUUCGAGCCCUGUGCUUGGUGUUGGACGGUCUGGUUAGGCGACUAACCCCUCCUAAAGACAAUGACGGCGGCCUGUGGUUCCCCCGGUACACUGAGCUUUCUUUUGAGCACGUAUCGGACUGUGGGUGCCCGGGACACGGUCUUCUCCUUUCAUUAGGAAUUUUUCUAAA